rnacentral:rRNA from 1 species
UGGGGAAUAUUGGGCAAUGGGCGAAAGCCUUACCCAGCAACGCCGCGUGAGGGAAGAAGGUUUUCGGAUUGUAAACCUCUGUCCUGGGGGACGAAGGAAGUGACGGUACCCCGGGAGGAAGCCCCGGCUAACUACGUGCCAGCAGCCGCGGUAAUACGUAGGGGGCGAGCGUUGUCCGGAAUUAUUGGGCGUAAAGGGCGCGUAGACGGCCGAGUAAGUUAUAGGUGAAAGCCCAUCUUUCAAGGAUGGAAUUGCCUGUAAUACUGCCUGGCUUGAGUGCAGGAGAGGGAAGCGGAAUUCCUAGUGUAGCGGUGAAAUGCGUAGAUAUUAGGAGGAACACCAGUGGCGAAGGCGGCUUUCUGGACUGCAACUGACGUUGGGGCGCGAAAGCGUGGGGAGCAAACAGGAUUAGAUACC